rnacentral:rRNA from 1 species
CCUACGGGAGGCAGCAGUGAGGAAUAUUGGUCAAUGGACGAGAGUCUGAACCAGCCAAGCAGCGUGAAGGAUGAAUGCCCUAUGGGUCGUAAACUUCUUUUAUAAAGGAAUAAAACGAGGCACGUGUGCCUUUUUGCAUGUACUUUAUGAAUAAGGAUCGGCUAACUCCGUGCCAGCAGCCGCGGUAAUACGGAGGAUCCGAGCGUUAUCCGGAUUUAUUGGGUUUAAAGGGAGCGUAGAUGGGUUGUUAAGUCAGGUGUGAAAGUUUGCGGCUCAACCGUAAAAUUGCAAUUGAUACUGGCAGUCUUGAGUACAGUUGAGGUAGGCGGAAUUCGUGGUGUAGCGGUGAAAUGCUUAGAUAUCACGAAGAACCCCGAUUGCGAAGGCAGCUUACUAAACUGUGACUGACAUUGAUGCUCGAAAGUGUGGGUAUCAAACAGGAUUAGAUACCCGAGUAGUC